AUUAUUUAUAAUGGGCAGAAAUUUAUGACCUUACUGUUUUUGAGGCUGAAAAGCCCAAUAUCAAUUAGUAGCGUUGAUGAGAGUCUCCUUGUUACCUCAUACCUACACCAAGAGCGUCUUAUCGAGAGGUAGAAAGAAGACUUUCUUCACUUUUCCAAUGGGCUUCAAUUUUCAUCAAGGAACCUGAGAGAGUCCCUCUGUUGUUUUCUUCUGCUUUGUCUUCUGGAGCUCAGGACAAUGGACUUCAUGACACCCUCUGCCUCUGUGAUGUGGAUCCAGAGAUGAAACUCGGGACCUUGUGCUUGCGAGGCAGGCGCCGGAACCACUGAGCUAAAUCCCCGGCCCCAAGCUGAGAAAAUUUUAAAAGAAAGGUUCAUUGCUUCUGAAGAUGGGAGGUAUAGUCUCAGCAAUGUGGUUAUAUUAAUAGGAUGACAAUGGGGUCAUGAUCUUUGCACCCAUUCAAUUUGGCCCAUUGCACAAUGCACUGGUAUGGAUGAUAGGACAAGAUAUGCUUCCCAACUUUUGACAUUACCAACAUCGAAGAGAUAAAUAUUUUUGAAUCAUGAGUGGAACACAAAUGGAAAGAGUUGUUAAAAGUGUAACUUUUCAGAGACUGA
rnacentral:lncRNA from 1 species